rnacentral:rRNA from 1 species
UACGUAGGGUGCGAGCGUUAAUCGGAAUUACUGGGCGUAAAGCGUGCGCAGGCGGUUCGUUAAGUUCGAUGUGAAAGCCCCGGGCUCAACCUGGGAAACUGCAUUGGAAACUGGCGAGCUUGAGUAUGGCAGAGGGGGGUGGAAUUCCGCGUGUAGCAGUGAAAUGCGUAGAGAUGCGGAGGAACACCGAUGGCGAAGGCAGCCCCCUGGGCCAAUACUGACGCUCAGGCACGAAAGCGUGGGGAGCAAACAGG